rnacentral:rRNA from 1 species
GGUCAAGUGAAGAAGCGCAUACGGUGGAUGCCCUGGCAGUCAGAGGCGAUGAAGGACGUGCUAAUCUGCGAAAAGCUUCGGGAGUCGGCAAACAGACUUUGAUCCGGAGAUCUCUGAAUGGGGGAACCCACCUAGGAUAACCUAGGUAUCUUGUACUGAAUACAUAGGUUAACGAGGCGAACCGGGGGAACUGAAACAUCUAAGUACCCCGAGGAAAAGAAAUCAACCGAGAUUCCCCCAGUAGCGGCGAGCGAACGGGGAGCAGCCCUUAAGCUUCAUUGAUUUUAGCGGAACGCUCUGGAAAGUGCGGCCAUAGUGGGUGAUAGCCCCGUACGCGAAAGGAUCUUUGAAGUGAAAUCGAGUAGGACGGAGCACGAGAAACUUUGUCUGAAUAUGGGGGGACCAUCCUCCAAGGCUAAAUACUCCUGACUGACCGAUAGUGAACCAGUACCGUGAGGGAAAGGCGAAAAGAACCCCGGCGAGGGGAGUGAAAAAGAACCUGAAACCGUGUACGUACAAGCAGUGGGAGCACCUUCGUGGUGUGACUGCGUACCUUUUGUAUAAUGGGUCAGCGACUUAUAUUCUGUAGCAAGGUUAACCGUAUAGGGGAGCCGAAGGGAAACCGAGUCUUAAUAGGGCGUUUAGUCGCUGGGUAUAGACCCGAAACCGGGCGAUCUAUCCAUGAGCAGGUUGAAGGUUAGGUAACACUGACUGGAGGACCGAACCCACUCCCGUUGAAAAGGUAGGGGAUGACUUGUGGAUCGGAGUGAAAGGCUAAUCAAGCUCGGAGAUAGCUGGUUCUCCUCGAAAGCUAUUUAGGUAGCGCCUCAUGUAUCACUCUGGGGGGUAGAGCACUGUUUCGGCUAGGGGGGUCAUCCCGACUUACCAAACCGAUGCAAACUCCGAAUACCCAGAAGUGCCGAGCAUGGGAGACACACGGCGGGUGCUAACGUCCGUCGUGAAAAGGGAAACAACCCAGACCGCCAGCUAAGGUCCCAAAGUUGUGGUUAAGUGGUAAACGAUGUGGGAAGGCUUAGACAGCUAGGAGGUUGGCUUAGAAGCAGCCAUCCUUUAAAGAAAGCGUAAUAGCUCACUAGUCGAGUCGGCCUGCGCGGAAGAUGUAACGGGGCUCAAACCACACACCGAAGCUGCGGGUGUCACGUAAGUGACGCGGUAGAGGAGCGUUCUGUAAGCCUGUGAAGGUGAGUUGAGAAGCUUGCUGGAGGUAUCAGAAGUGCGAAUGCUGACAUGAGUAACGACAAUGGGUGUGAAAAACACCCACGCCGAAAGACCAAGGGUUCCUGCGCAACGUUAAUCGACGCAGGGUUAGUCGGUUCCUAAGGCGAGGCUGAAAAGCGUAGUCGAUGGGAAACAGGUUAAUAUUCCUGUACUUCUGGUUACUGCGAUGGAGGGACGGAGAAGGCUAGGCCAGCUUGGCGUUGGUUGUCCAAGUUUAAGGUGGUAGGCUGAAAUCUUAGGUAAAUCCGGGGUUUCAAGGCCGAGAGCUGAUGACGAGUCGUCUUUUAGAUGACGAAGUGGUUGAUGCCAUGCUUCCAAGAAAAGCUUCUAAGCUUCAGGUAACCAGGAACCGUACCCCAAACCGACACAGGUGGUCGGGUAGAGAAUACCAAGGCGCUUGAGAGAACUCGGGUGAAGGAACUAGGCAAAAUGGCACCGUAACUUCGGGAGAAGGUGCGCCGGCUAGGUAGUGAAGGAUUUACUCCGUAAGCUCUGGCUGGUCGAAGAUACCAGGCCGCUGCGACUGUUUAUUAAAAACACAGCACUCUGCAAACACGAAAGUGGACGUAUAGGGUGUGACGCCUGCCCGGUGCCGGAAGGUUAAUUGAUGGGGUUAGCGCAAGCGAAGCUCUUGAUCGAAGCCCCGGUAAACGGCGGCCGUAACUAUAACGGUCCUAAGGUAGCGAAAUUCCUUGUCGGGUAAGUUCCGACCUGCACGAAUGGCGUAACGAUGGCGGCGCUGUCUCCACCCGAGACUCAGUGAAAUUGAAAUCGCUGUGAAGAUGCAGUGUAUCCGCGGCUAGACGGAAAGACCCCGUGAACCUUUACUGUAGCUUUGCACUGGACUUUGAGCCUGCUUGUGUAGGAUAGGUGGGAGGCUUUGAAGCGUGGACGCCAGUUCGCGUGGAGCCAUCCUUGAAAUACCACCCUGGCAUGCUUGAGGUUCUAACUCUGGUCCGUAAUCCGGAUCGAGGACAGUGUAUGGUGGGCAGUUUGACUGGGGCGGUCUCCUCCUAAAGAGUAACGGAGGAGUACGAAGGUGCGCUCAGACCGGUCGGAAAUCGGUCGUAGAGUAUAAAGGCAAAAGCGCGCUUGACUGCGAGACAGACACGUCGAGCAGGUACGAAAGUAGGUCUUAGUGAUCCGGUGGUUCUGUAUGGAAGGGCCAUCGCUCAACGGAUAAAAGGUACUCCGGGGAUAACAGGCUGAUACCGCCCAAGAGUUCAUAUCGACGGCGGUGUUUGGCACCUCGAUGUCGGCUCAUCACAUCCUGGGGCUGAAGCCGGUCCCAAGGGUAUGGCUGUUCGCCAUUUAAAGUGGUACGCGAGCUGGGUUUAGAACGUCGUGAGACAGUUCGGUCCCUAUCUGCCGUGGACGUUUGAGAUUUGAGAGGGGCUGCUCCUAGUACGAGAGGACCGGAGUGGACGAACCUCUGGUGUUCCGGUUGUCACGCCAGUGGCAUUGCCGGGUAGCUAUGUUCGGAAAAGAUAACCGCUGAAAGCAUCUAAGCGGGAAACUUGCCUCAAGAUGAGAUCUCACUGGGAACUUGAUUCCCCUGAAGGGCCGUCGAAGACUACGACGUUGAUAGGCUGGGUGUGUAAGCGUUGUGAGGCGUUGAGCUAACCAGUACUAAUUGCCCGUGAGGCUUGACCAU